GAUGAACGCUGGCGGCGUGCCUAAUACACGCAAGUCGAGCGAACGGACGAGAAGCCUGCUUUUCUGAUGUUAGCGGCGGACGGGUGAGUAACACGUGGAUAACCUACCUAUAAGACUGGGAUAACUUCGGGAAACCGGAGCUAAUACCGGAUAAUAUUUUGAACCGCAUGGUUCAAAAGUGAAAGACGGUCUUGCUGUCACUUAUAGAUGGAUCCGCGCUGCAUUAGCUAGUUGGUAAGGUAACGGCUUACCAAGGCAACGAUGCAUAGCCGACCUGAGAGGGUGAUCGGCCACACUGGAACUGAGACACGGUCCAGACUCCUACGGGAGGCAGCAGUAGGGAAUCUUCCGCAAUGGGCGAAAGCCUGACGGAGCAACGCCGCGUGAGUGAUGAAGGUCUUCGGAUCGUAAAGCUCUGUUAUUAGGGAAGAACAUAUGUGUAAGUAACUGUGCACAUCUUGACGGUACCUAAUCAGAAAGCCACGGCUAACUACGUG
rnacentral:rRNA from 1 species